UCCGACGGUGAGGGGUGAAGGCUGGGGGCGCAAACCGGAUUAGAUACCCGGGUAGUCCCAGCAGUAAACGAUGCCCAGCUAUGUGUUGCUGGAACCAUGGGGUUCCAGCAGUGCCGAAGGGAAGCCGUGAAGCUGGCCACCUGGGAAGUACGGUCGCAAGGCUGAAACUUAAAGGAAUUGGCGGGGGAGUACCACAACCGGUGGAGCCUGCGGUUUAAUUGGAUACAACGCCGGGAAUCUUACCGGAGGGGACAGCAGUAUGAAGGCCAGGCUAAAGACCUUGCCAGGUCAGCUGAGAGGAGGUGCAUGGCCGUCGCCAGUUCGUACCGUGAGGCAUCCUGUUUAGUCAGGCAACGAUCGAGACCCGCAGUCUUAUUUGCCAGCAUGCCCUUUGGGGUGUAUGGGUACAAUAAGACGACCGCCAGCGCUAAGCUGGAGGAAGGAGCGGGCUACGGUAGGUCAGCAUGCCCCGAAUCCUCCGAGAUACACGCGGGCUACAAUGGUCAGGACAAAAGGUACCGACCUCGAAAGAGUGAGGUAAUCCACAAACCUGAUCUCAGUCCGGAUCGAAGGCUGCAACUCGCCUUCGUGAAGAUGGAAUCGGUAGUAAUCGUGACUCAGAAUGUCACGGUGAAUAUGUCC
rnacentral:rRNA from 1 species